UACGUAGGGGGCAAGCGUUAUCCGGAUUUACUGGGUGUAAAGGGAGCGUAGACGGUUAUGCAAGUCUGAAGUGAAAGCCCAAGGCUCAACCAUGGGACUGCUUUGGAAACUGUAAAACUGGGGUGCAGGAGAGGUAAGCGGAAUUCCUAGUGUAGCGGUGAAAUGCGUAGAUAUUAGGAGGAACACCAGUGGCGAAGGCGGCUUACUGGACUGUAACUGACGUUGAGGCUCGAAGGCGUGGGGAGCAAACAGG
rnacentral:rRNA from 1 species